GCACAGGGAGUCAUAGGCACUAGUUCAGCAAGGUACUUAAGCAUGCGCCUAAGUUUAAAUACGAGUAUUUCCAUAAGGUACCUUGCUGAACUGGGAUCUACAUGACGUGCCCAAGGUCACACAGCACAUAUAAGGCAGAGCUAAGCCCUGAUCUCCUGAGUCCCAGUCCAAUAUCUUAACAACAAAAGACUAUCUUUCUUUAUAGACAGUGAAUGCAAAAAAAGUAGAUCCUCAAAGAGAUAAAAGACCUAUAAAAUGAACAACAGAUUACUACAGAUCAAAACAAAUAGAUUGAUUUUCCAUAGUAUAAUUUCUUAUUCAGAAAGCAGAUAUUGCAGGCAUAUAUUCUAGAACCUAUUUAAUUAUAAUAUAAUAUUAACUGUGUAGCUAUUGUGACCUCCCUUCCCCGGUAUACAACCUGAAACUGUGGGACCUCUGUGACCCCUUAACUCUCCAGCCUGGGCUGUCUCUCACAUGCUUUGCUACUGACAAGCAGCAAACCCUUCCAGGUGCUGUGGUCACUCAAACAACAACAUGCAGGAACACACCCAGCUAAGUUGCAUGAAUGCUCUCUAAGCCACUCAAGAAAUAUAAGUUGGGAGACAACAGCAAAUCCCCCCAGCUCAAGACAGAGACCAUCGGGAGGCGCCACUGGGGUCACCUCUGAAUCCUGAAACCAGGGAGGACUCAUGCCUUCAGAUAUAGGGGAUGUGGAUUGGGAUGGAGGAUUUGACCCACAUCCUGUGAGAGGAGGCACUGAGCUGGUCACAGAGUAAUCAGAGGACAUAUCUCCUUCGCAUGAUGCUGAAACCUCCACACUGGGACAGAGACUUUCCCAGAUUAGAAGGCAGAAAAAGGAGACUCAGGAGGACAUGUUCAAUAAGUUAAUGCACACAAGAGUGACAAGACAGAACUCAGAGAAUAGAGGAUCACACUGUCUGAGAAAAUGGACAUGGGCAUGAACAGGAAGGACAGGAGAGCAUGCAGGGAACAAGAGCGUGCCAUGCAGGAAGAGAUGCUGUGUAUUAUGAAGGAGCAAUCAGACAUGUUCAAGCAUCUGGUUGAGGUUCAAGAAAGGCUGCUAGAAUCCCUCUGCAGCCUAUGCUGAACUUGCUGCCAUCAUCACCCAGUUCUACAUCCUCCUCCCCUAAACAUCCCAUGGGGGAGGAGGAAUUUGGUAUCCCUUGUACUCAACACCAGGGAAGGGUACAAGGACCAGAAGGCACCCAUUUCCACACCUUUGCUUGUUACAGAUGCACUGCAAUAAGCAAGUUUUCCUUGUUUCUCCCCCUCCAGUUUUAUCAGCCCUUUUGCUCCCGGUUAUCUUACUUUUCUUUGCUGUCUCUCUGUGUGUGUGUGCAUAAUAAAACUU